AAUCUCACCUCUUCAGUGAAGCCUGUGGGAAUCUGCAGCAUCCUUCUCCAAUACAGCUUCUCCUCCCCACCUGAAUUCAACCUGAACGCCUCUCAAAGCCAGUUGGUACUUUGCCACGAUAUCUUUCCCUCUGGCCUGGUCACCAGCACAGCAAAGCCCCAGCAAUGCACAUUGGACACAUGGCAUGAGUCCUGGGCCUCCCAUGCUGCUCCCUGUUUCUGAUGCAAGCUAUGCCUGUUAACACCUCCAUGCCUUUGCCCCAGCACUGACGAACUUCGUCCUUCAUGUUAACUCAAAAGUCUUAGUCUGCUCAGGCUGCCAUCAUACAAAACUACAGACUGGACAGGGCACAGUUCUCACAGUUCUGGAGGCUGGAAUCCAAGAUCAAGAUGCUGGCAAGAUGCCUGGACUAUGUCUGUCAGGAUCACAGGUGGCUCUUGCUGACACUGUCCUCUCAAGCCACGGAGACCUUUGCUCUUCCCACUGCCCUGCCACCCCUGCACCCCCACC